CAGUCGCCACGGUAAUCCGAAGGGGGCUAGCGUUGCUCGGAAUGACUGGGCGUAAAGGGCGCGUAGGCGGAUGGCACAGUCAGAUGUGAAAUUCCCGGGCUUAACCUGGGGGCUGCAUUUGAUACGUGUUGUCUAGAGUGAGGAAGAGGGUCGUGGAAUUCCCAGUGUAGAGGUGAAAUUCGUAGAUAUUGGGAAGAACACCGGUGGCGAAGGCGGCGACCUGGUCCUUUACUGACGCUGAGGCGCGAAAGCGUGGGGAGCAAACAGGAUUAGAUACCCCAGUAGUCCAUGUCUCUUAUAC
rnacentral:rRNA from 1 species